rnacentral:lncRNA from 1 species
CUGUGCCAUCCCACCACUCUCCCCAGGAGGAGGAUCUGUGUCUGAAAGCCUUAGCCUUGCUGGUCCUCGGCCUUCCAGAACAAUGAUGGGAGAGGCUGGCUGUCAGAAUGUGUGGUCAGAUGAUUCUUGAUGGCAUCUGAGAGUCCUUCCAGCUCGAGGAGUUUGGGAAAGAAACAUACACGAUCUGCCUUCCUUGUGCUUCCAGCCUCCUCUUUUACCCUCCACAAAACACAUGUCUUUCACAAGCUGCACCCCUCGAGCCCUGCUGUGGACAUUUGAAUGGUGGCCCAGAGGAGGGUGACUGGAUCUAAUGAAAGCUGAAGAGAAGCAAAUUAUUUGCGCUUCUCUCCAAUGAUGUUUAGGGACUUCGUGUGUGCAAAGCUGAUGAUGGAUGCACAUCAUGCCACCAGUGUGUGAUCAACUAAAAAUGAAGCGAGACAGAUAAUCCUCAAAGACACUAUGCUAAGUGAAAUCAACCAGCCCCAGAAGGACUAAGGCAUGGCGGGCCCUUGAACGGGAGGUCUGAGUCGUCAGUCUCAUGGAGAAGACAGCAGGAUGGUGGCUGCCAGGGAAUGGGGAGGGAACCCCACGAGGGCAUUACUGCUCCACAGGCAGAGUUUCUGUGCGGGCAGAUGGGAGCGUGCUGGAGAUGACGGGGGUGAUGUCACUCAAUCAUGUGAUCGUUCUUAAUGCCACUGAAAUGUACUUAAAAAUACGUA